rnacentral:rRNA from 1 species
GACGAACGCUGGCGGCGUGCUUAACACAUGCAAGUCGAGCGGUAAGGCCCCUUCGGGGGUACACGAGCGGCGAACGGGUGAGUAACACGUGGGUGACCUGCCCUCAGCUCUGGGAUAAGCCUGGGAAACCGGGUCUAAUACCGGAUAGGACCGUCCACCGCAUGGUGGGGGGUGGAAAGUUUUUUCGGCCGGGGAUGGGCCCGCGGCCUAUCAGCUUGUUGGUGGGGUGAUGGCGUAACAAGGCGACGACGGGUAACCGGCCUGAGAGGGCGACCGGCCACACUGGGACUGAGACACGGCCCAGACUCCUACGGGAGGCAGCAGUGGGGAAUAUUGCGCAAUGGGCGGAAGCCUGACGCAGCGACGCCGCGUGGGGGAUGACGGCCUUCGGGUUGUAAACCUCUUUCGACCGGGACGAAGGGUGACUGACGGUACCGGUAGAAGAAGCACCGGCCAACUACGUGCCAGCAGCCGCCGUAA